rnacentral:rRNA from 1 species
AGAGUUUUGAUCAUGGCUCAGGAUGAACGCUAGCGGAGGCUUAAUACAUGCAAGUCGCACGGCAGCAUUGAUAUAGUAAUAUAUUAGAUGGCGAGUGGCGCACGGGUGAGUAACGCGUACACAACCUACCCUUAAGAGGGGAUAACUCAGAGAAAUUUGGGAUAAUACCCCAUAAUAUCGGAGAUAUGCAUAUAUUUUUGAUUAAAGUUACGGCGCUUAAGGAUGGGUGUGCGUUAGAUUAGGUAGUUGGUGAGGUAACGGCUCACCAAGCCGACGAUCUAUAAGGGGCGUGAGAGCGUGGUCCCUCACACGGGUACUGAGACACGGACCCGACUCCUACGGGAGGCAGCAGUAAGGAAUAUUGGACAAUGCCCGCAAGGGUGAUCCAGCCAUCCCGCGUGCAGGAAGACUGCCCUAUGGGUUGUAAACUGCUUUUAUCAGGGAAGAAACCCCUUGACUUGUUGAGGGUUGACGGUACCUGAUGAAUAAGCACCGGCUAACUCCGUG